AUGAACGCUAGCUACAGGCUUAACACAUGCAAGUCGAGGGGCAGCAUUUUAGUUUGCUUGCAAACUGAAGAUGGCGACCGGCGCACGGGUGAGUAACACGUAUCCAACCUGCCGAUAACUCCGGAAUAGCCUUUCGAAAGAAAGAUUAAUACCGGAUAGCAUACGAAUAUCGCAUGAUAUUUUUAUUAAAGAAUUUCGGUUAUCGAUGGGGAUGCGUUCCAUUAGUUUGUUGGCGGGGUAACGGCCCACCAAGACUACGAUGGAUAGGGGUUCUGAGAGGAAGGUCCCCCACAUUGGAACUGAGACACGGUCCAAACUCCUACGGGAGGCAGCAGUGAGGAAUAUUGGUCAAUGGGCGAGAGCCUGAACCAGCCAAGUAGCGUGAAGGAUGAAGGCUCUAUGGGUCGUAAACUUCUUUUAUAUGGGAAUAAAGUUUUCCACGUGUGGAAUUUUGUAUGUACCAUAUGAAUAAGGAUCGGCUAACUCCGUGCCAGCAGCCGCGGUAAUACGGAGGAUCCGAGCGUUAUCCGGAUUUAUUGGGUUUAAAGGGAGCGUAGGUGGAUUGUUAAGUCAGUUGUGAAGGUUUGCGGCUCAACCGUAAAAUUGCAGUUGAAACUGGCAGUCUUGAGUACAGUAGAGGUGGGCGGAAUUCGUGGUGUAGCGGUGAAAUGCUUAGAUAUCACGAAGAACUCCGAUUGCGAAGGCAGCUCACUAGACUGUCACUGACACUGAUGCUCGAAAGUGUGGGUAUCAAACAGGAUUAGAUACCCUGGUAGUCCACACAGUAAACGAUGAAUACUCGCUGUUUGCGAUAUACAGUAAGCGGCCAAGCGAAAGCAUUAAGUAUUCCACCUGGGGAGUACGCCGGCAACGGUGAAACUCAAAGGAAUUGACGGGGGCCCGCACAAGCGGAGGAACAUGUGGUUUAAUUCGAUGAUACGCGAGGAACCUUACCCGGGCUUAAAUUGCAACAGAAUAUAUUGGAAACAGUAUAGCCGUAAGGCUGUUGUGAAGGUGCUGCAUGGUUGUCGUCAGCUCGUGCCGUGAGGUGUCGGCUUAAGUGCCAUAACGAGCGCAACCCUUAUCUUUAGUUACUAACAGGUCAUGCUGAGGACUCUAGAGAGACUGCCGUCGUAAGAUGUGAGGAAGGUGGGGAUGACGUCAAAUCAGCACGGCCCUUACGUCCGGGGCUACACACGUGUUACAAUGGGGGGUACAGAAGGCGGCUACCUGGUGACAGGAUGCUAAUCCCAAAAACCUCUCUCAGUUCGGAUCGAAGUCUGCAACCCGACUUCGUGAAGCUGGAUUCGCUAGUAAUCGCGCAUCAGCCAUGGCGCGGUGAAUACGUUCCCGGGCCUUGUACACACCGCCCGUCAAGCCAUGAAAGCCGGGGGUACCUGAAGUACGUAACCGCAAGGAGCGUCCUAGGGUAAAACUGGUAAUUGGGGCU
rnacentral:rRNA from 1 species